rnacentral:rRNA from 1 species
UGGGGAAUAUUGGGCAAUGGGCGAAAGCCUGACCCAGCCAUGCCGCGUGAGUGAUGAAGGCCUUAGGGUUGUAAAACUCUUUCGCUCGGGAAGAUAAUGACGGUACCGAGUAAAGAAGCCCCGGCUAAUUUCGUGCCAGCAGCCGCGGUAAUACGAAAGGGGCUAGCGUUGUUCGGAAUUACUGGGCGUAAAGCGCGCGUAGGCGGCAUACCAAGUUGGGGGUGAAAUCCCGGGGCUCAACCUCGGAACUGCCUCCAAAACUGGUAAGCUAGAGGAUGUGAGAGGAUAGUGGAAUUCCGAGUGUAGAGGUGAAAUUCGUAGAUAUUCGGAAGAACACCAGUGGCGAAGGCGACUGUCUGGCACAUUUCUGACGCUGAGGUGCGAAAGCGUGGGGAGCAAACA